GCGGCUAUGCCCGAGUGGUGUAAGGGGGCAGAUUUCAGCCCUGCUGUUGUAAAACGCGAGAGUUCGAACCUCUCUGGCCGCACCA
rnacentral:tRNA from 1 species